rnacentral:lncRNA from 1 species
AAGCAAUUUGCUCAUAGCCAUAGCUUUCUUGUGAAAGUAGGAUAUUAACCCAGGUGUCUUGGUGCUGGAGAACAGAACUGGCCAGAGUCCAUCCUGUCUCCCACCGGCAUCCCAUUACGAAAUGAACACAGAAAAGGCAGGUCUGCAAUGCCAACAUCUAGUAUCUAUCCCAAAGACCAGGGAGAAAGGAAGGAAAGAUUCUGGUUCUGUCCUCUUCCCCAAGGCAAGGCUGGCUGCCCUACCAACAGAGGCAAAGAGAAGAGUGUGCAAGGCUGGCUGCCCUCCCAACAGAGGCAAAGAGGAGUGUGUGUUGAAAUAUCCAUUGAAUCCCUGAGACAACUGGAUCCUGGCCCAUUGAAUCAUAAACUCAGCAGAAUCUCACAUCAUAACCCCAAAUGACCUGUUACUCACCAUGUGGCCCAGCUGUCUUCAAACUCACCAGCCUCCUGCCUUAGCCUUCUAAAUGCUUGGAUUACAGGCAUGACCCACCAUAACUGGCUUUGUUUUAGUUUCAGAGAAGAUGAAACUGAUGUGCGUCAAAAAGUAAACUACCCACAUUUUAACUGGGCACAUUCCUGUCAAUCUGAUGAGAAUCUAUUUCAUACCCUGCUUUAGCUGGUAGUCUGUCAAGGAAAUGAGCUGAACAUGUCUGUGUACAGCUUUUGUGCCAUCCCUGGAUGAGCGAGCUGUCUGCCUCUAUGUUCUCCACAAAAUGGAAUAUAGCUGUACACCCAAGCCAAGUUAUGGAGGCUGGGAAGACCUAGAAUGUGGCAUCACUAUUUGGUUAUUUAGAAAAUUGUUACCUCAAAAAUGACCUAGGGGUCCUUAGAAUAAUAACACACAGAAGAAUAGCCUCAUUUUUCUGUUGGGCCCAGGAAACCAUGCCGAUUACCGACCGAGCUCUCAAUGGAAAAAUGCAGUCGGCGUGAACCACGCACGAACACAGCAGAGAAAGAAGAAAACACACACCACGAGGAACCCUAAUAGGACAAUACAUUAUAAGCCUCAUGGUACAUCCACUUGGUGUGCUGGGAGAGUCAGGAUGAGGACCUGAGAAGAACAGCAGCUUGAACCUGACUUCAUUUAACAGCCCACUGCCCUCUUGCCAAGAACCCAUCACAGACCUUCCCAGAAGAGAGGGAUGAGCCUCACCUAUGAAUAAGUCCUCAGAAACUCAAAUUUGAUUCUAAUGGAUUGUUUUCUCAGAAAGACUGAGCAUGUCCCCCCACAUCUCUGUCAUUUCCCACAGUAGUAACCUCUGCAGAUGCCACAUAGAAAACAAAACAAAACAAAAAAACAUGAGGUUGGUGGGCAGAUAGGCAGGGUAUAAACAAACAGCCUUGUAACCCAGAAGCUGUGUGAUAUACAGUAAACUUCACAACACUGAAAAGAUGUCCUAUCUGUUAAAAUGGGGUAAUAACAACUACCCGAAUGUUUAGGAAUAGAACUUCAAUAAAUGAUACAUUUUAUAGUACAGCAGACCAUCCUGUAAAGGUUUCAUCCUUCACUGUGGUGAUAAAUAUCCCAAACCACAUUGAAAAGCAUUGCAUCUACAUUUAUCUACACUGUAACUGUACUGUAAAUCAUGGGGGAGGGGAGAAUCAUAAAAACACCACCUGUCACCGUGUCAUUAAAGCAAGUUGGAAGUGAUACUUACAGAAACACAGCAAGAGCACCCCCAGUCACACAGUUCAAUCUCUUAGCAAGCGUUUUCUUUCUAGCCCAGUGGUUCUCAGUUUGGAAUUUUUGGCACUGCCUAGAGAUAGUUUUGUUGUUAAAACUGAGAAAAGAGCCGGGCGUGGUGGCACACGCCUUUAAUCCCAGCACUCAGGAGGCAGAGGCAGG